rnacentral:rRNA from 1 species
AGUGAACGCUGGCGGUAGGCCUAACACAUGCAAGUCGAACGGCAGCACAGGAGAGCUUGCUCUCUAGGUGGCGAGUGGCGGACGGGUGAGGAAUACAUCGGAAUCUGCCCAGUCGUGGGGGAUAACGUAGGGAAACUUACGCUAAUACCGCAUACGACCUUCGGGUGAAAGAGGGGGAUCGCAAGACCUCUCGCGAUUGGAUGAGCCGAUGUCGGAUUAGCUAGUUAGCGGGGUAAUGGCCCACCAAGGCGACGAUCCGUAGCUGGUCUGAGAGGAUGAUCAGCCACACUGGAACUGAGACACGGUCCAGACUCCUACGGGAGGCAGCAGUGGGGAAUAUUGGACAAUGGGCGCAAGCCUGAUCCAGCCAUACCGCGUGGGUGAAGAAGGCCAUCGGGUUGUAAAGCCCUUUUGUUGGGAAAGAAAUCUUUCAGGCUAAUACCCUGGGAGGAUGACGGUACCCAAAGAAUAAGCACCGGCUAACUUCGUG